GACAGAGGGUGCAAGCGUUGUUCGGAAUCAUUGGGCGUAAAGCGCACGUAGGCGGUCGCGUAAGUCGGAUGUGAAAGCCCUGGGCUUAACCCAGGAAGUGCAUCCGAUACUGCGCGACUUGAGUCCCGGAGAGGGUGGUGGAAUUCCUGGUGUAGUGGUGAAAUGCGUAGAGAUCCGGAGGAACCCCAGAGGCGAAGGCGGCGCCCUGGCUCGCAACUGACGCUCAGACACGACAGCAUGGGGAGCGAACGGG
rnacentral:rRNA from 1 species